rnacentral:rRNA from 1 species
GACAGAGGGGGGCAAGCGUUGCUCGGAAUCACUGGGCGUAAAGGGCGCGUAGGCGGGAUGGCAAGUCGGUCGUGAAAUCCUUCGGCUCAACCGAAGAACGUCGGCCGAUACUGCCGUUCUUGAGGGAUGCAGAGGAGAUUGGAAUUCCCGGUGUAGCGGUGAAAUGUGUAGAGAUCGGGAGGAACACCGGUGGCGAAGGCGGGGUCUCUGGGCAUCUCCUGACGCUGAGG